rnacentral:rRNA from 1 species
UACAGAGGGUGCAAGCGUUGUUCGGAAUUAUUGGGCGUAAAGGGCGCGUAGGCGGUGCGGUAAGUCUGUAGUGAAAUCUCUGGGCUCAACUCAGAGUCUGCUGCAGAAACUGCCGUGCUUGAGUGUGGGAGAGGUGAGUGGAAUUCCCGGUGUAGCGGUGAAAUGCGUAGAUAUCUGGAGGAACACCGGUGGCGAAGGCGGCAUCCUGGACCAACACUGACACUGAGGAGCGAAAGCCAGGGGAGCAAACGGG